rnacentral:lncRNA from 1 species
UAUUCCAUUACAGAGCAAUUUUAACUCCUUGUUUGUAUAUUUCAGGCAGUCUAAAAUGGAUGAAGCAGUUGUGUUGCUAUAUCGGUUUAAAAGAAACUUCAGAAAUAGACACUUUCUCACAGCAAAAUUGUGAAGCUGACUAAAUUGUGGGUUUCAAGAGUUUGCAAGAAAGGAAUCUGCACUCAUGAAAAAGAAGCAGUCACGUGGUCCCCUCAUGCCGUUGUUUCCAUUACAGCAUUUUUGUUAGUGCUGUGACUUGUGAAAAGUCAAAUCAAGGGACCUUCCACGUGGUGCCUCAGCAAUUUGGACCAUGUGCCUUGCACACUUGCUGCUCUGAACAUACGGCUACUAGAUAUGAACGGAUGAUUCCUGAAUAGUUCUGCUUUCAGAGCGUGUGCUGCAAGU